ACUUCGGGGCAGGGUGAAAUUCCCUACCGGCAGUAAAGUCUGCGAGCCAUUUUUGGUUGAACUCGUGAAAUUCGAGUACCGACGGUAUAGUCCGGAUGAGAGAAGU
rnacentral:ncRNA from 1 species